UCAUCCCCUUAUCUAUCCCUUUUGGAACACAGUACAGUAAAGCCAUAGAGGUGAUGGCGCUAAAUCUCUCCAACACAUUUCUCCAAAUCAAGCCUUCUCUUCCCCUUCAUUGUCCAACGGCAAGACGGUGACUGCAACGGGAGGGGGAUAGAGGCCACAGAUUACUUGCCGGAAAAAAGACAUCCACCCCGAAUUCUACGAGGA